UCCUACGGGAGGCAGCAGUGAGGAAUAUUGGUCAAUGGAGGCAACUCUGAACCAGCCAUGCCGCGUGAAGGAUGACGGCCCUAUGGGUUGUAAACUUCUUUUGAAUAGGAAGAAACUUAUCUACGUGUAGAUAACUGACGGUACUAUUAGAAUAAGGAUCGGCUAACUCCGUGCCAGCAGCCGCGGUAAUACGGAGGAUCCAAGCGUUAUCCGGAAUUAUUGGGUUUAAAGGGUCCGUAGGCGGAUCUUUAAGUCAGUGGUGAAAGCCGACAGCUUAACUGUCGAACUGCCAUUGAUACUGGAGAUCUUGAGUACAAAUGAAGUAGGCGGAAUGAGUCAUGUAGCGGUGAAAUGCAUAGAUAUGACUCAGAACACCGAUUGCGAAGGCAGCUUACUAACAUGUAACUGACGCUGAGGGACGAAAGCGUGGGGAGCGAACAGGAUUAGAUACCCUGGUAGUCCACGCCGUAAACGAUCAUCACUCGCUGUUGGCGAUAUACUGUCAGCGGCCAAGCGAAAGUAUUAAGUGAUGCACCUGGGGAGUACGCCGGCAACGGUGAAACUCAAAGGAAUUGACGGA
rnacentral:rRNA from 1 species